AACGUAGGUACCGAGCGUUAUCCGGAUUUACUGGGCGUAAAGCGCGUUCAGGCGGUUUGGCAAGUCGGGCAUGAAAUCUCUCGGCUCAACCGGGAGAGGUUGUCCGAUACUUCCAGACUUGAGGGCAGUAGAGGGUGGUGGAAUUCCGGGUGUAGUGGUGAAAUGCGUAGAUAUCCGGAGGAACACCAGUGGCGAAAGCGGCCACCUGGACUGCACCUGACGCUAAAGCGCGAAAGCUAGGGGAGCGAACGGG
rnacentral:rRNA from 1 species